GAUGAAGAACGUAGCGAAAUGCGAUAAGUAGUGUGAAUUCCAGAAUUCAGUGAAUCAUCGAAUCUUUGAACGCACAUUGCGCCCCUUGGUAUCCCGAGGGGCAUGCCUGUUCGAGCGUCAUUUCUCCACUCAAGCCUGGCUUGGUGUUGGGCGACGUCCUCUUUGGGGACGCGCCUCGAAACGCUCGGCGGCGUGGCACCGGCUUUAAGCGUAGCAGAAUCUUUCGCUUUGGAAGUCGGGGCCCCGUCUGCCGGAAGACCUGCUCGCAAGGUUGACCUCGGAUCAGGCAGGGAUACCCGCUGAACUUAAGCAUAUCAAUAAGCGGAGGA
rnacentral:misc_RNA from 1 species